CCUCAACGUUAUCUCAGUGGGCUAAGUCCUACAUACAGUAGGUAAUGGACAUACUUCAAGUUACACAGUCACGACAUAACCUGUUAAGGGUACAGCAUUACCGUGUAAUGUGUUAAGGGUACAGCAUUACCGUGUAAUGUGUUAAGGGUACAGCAUUACUGUGUAAUGUGUUAAGGGUACAGCAUUACUGUGUAAUGUGUUUAGGGUACAGCAUUACUGUGUAAUGUGUUUAGGGUACAGCAUUACCGUGUAAUGUGUUCAGAGUACAGCAUUACCGUGUAAUGUGUUAAGGGUACAGCAUUACCGUGUUAAGGGUACAGCAUUACCGUGUAAUGUGUUAAAGGUACAGCAUUACCGUGUAAUGUGUUAAGGGUACAGCAUUACCGUGUAAUGUGUUAAGGGUACAGCAUUACCGUGUAAUGUGUUUAGGGUACAGCAUUACCGUGUAAUGUGUUCAGAGUACAGCAUUACCGUGUAAUGUGUUAAGGGUACAGCAUUACCGUGUAAUGUGUUAAGGGUACAGCAUUACCGUGUAAUGUGUUUAGGGUACAGCAUUACCGUGUAAUGUGUUCAGAGUACAGCAUUACCGUGUAAUGUGUUAAGGGUACAGCAUUACCGUGUUAAGGGUACAGCAUUACCGUGUAAUGUGUUUAGGGUACAGCAUUACGGUGUUAAGGGUACAGCAUUACCGUGUAAUGUGUUUAGGGUACAGCAUUACGGUGUUAAGGGUACAGCAUUACCGUGUAAUGUGUUAAGGGUACAGCAUUACCGUGUAAUGUGUUAAGGGUACAGCAUUACCGUGUAAUGUGUUUAGGGUACAGCAUUACCGUGUAAUGUGUUUAGGGUACAGCAUUACCGUGUAAUGUGUUAAGGGUACAGCAUUACCGUGUUAAGGGUACAGCAUUACCGUGUUAAGGGUACAGCAUUACCGUGUUAAGGGUACAGCAUUACCGUGUAAUGUGUUUAGGGUACAGCAUUACCGUGUAAUGUGUUAAGGGUACAGCAUUACCGUGUAAUGUGUUAAGGGUACAGCAUUACCGUGUUAAGGGUACAGCAUUACCGUGUUAAGGGUACAGCAUUACCGUGUUAAGGGUACAGCAUUACCGUGUAAUGUGUUUAGGGUACAGCAUUACCGUGUAAUGUGUUAAGGGUACAGCAUUACCGUGUAAUGUGUUAAGGGUACAGCAUUACCGUGUAAUGUGUUAAGGGUACAGCAUUACCGUGUAAUGUGUUAAGGGUACAGCAUUACCGUGUUAAGGGUACAGCAUUACCGUGUUAAGGGUACAGCAUUACCGUGUUAAGGGUACAGCAUUACCGUGUAAUGUGUUUAGGGUACAGCAUUACCGUGUAAUGUGUUAAGGGUACGGCAUUACCGUGUAAUGUGUUAAGGGUACAGCAUUACCGUGUUAAGGGUACAGCAUUACCGUGUUAAGGGUACAGCAUUACUGUGUAAUGUGUUUAGGGUACAGCAUUACCGUGUAAUGUGUUAAGGGUACAGCAUUACCGUGUAAUGUGUUAAGGGUACAGCAUUACCGUGUAAUGUGUUAAGGGUACAGCAUUACCGUGUAAUGUGUUAAGGGUACAGCAUUACCGUGUAAUGUGUUUAGGGUACAGCAUUACCGUGUAAUGUGUUUAGGGUACAGCAUUACCGUGUAAUGUGUUAAGGGUACAGCAUUACCGUGUUAAGGGUACAGCAUUACCGUGUUAAGGGUACAGCAUUACCGUGUUAAGGGUACAGCAUUACCGUGUAAUGUGUUUAGGGUACAGCAUUACCGUGUAAUGUGUUAAGGGUACAGCAUUACCGUGUAAUGUGUUAAGGGUACAGCAUUACCGUGUAAUGUGUUAAGGGUACAGCAUUACCGUGUAAUGUGUUAAGGGUACAGCAUUACUGUGUAAUGUGUUAAGGGUACAGCAUUACCCUGUUAAGGGUACAGCAUUACCGUGUUAAGGGUACAGCAUUACCGUGUUAAGGGUACAGCAUUACCGUGUAAUGUGUUUAGGGUACAGCAUUACCGUGUAAUGUGUUAAGGGUACAGCAUUACCGUGUAAUGUGUUAAGGGUACAGCAUUACCGUGUUAAGGGUACAGCAUUACCGUGUUAAGGGUACAGCAUUACUGUGUAAUGUGUUUAGGGUACAGCAUUACCGUGUAAUGUGUUAAGGGUACAGCAUUACCGUGUAAUGUGUUAAGGGUACAGCAUUACCGUGUAAUGUGUUAAGGGUACAGCAUUACCGUGUUAAGGGUACAGCAUUACCGUGUUAAGGGUACAGCAUUACCGUGUUAAGGGUACAGCAUUACCGUGUAAUGUGUUUAGGGUACAGCAUUACCGUGUAAUGUGUUAAGGGUACAGCAUUACCGUGUAAUGUGUUAAGGGUACAGCAUUACCGUGUUAAGGGUACAGCAUUACCGUGUUAAGGGUACAGCAUUACUGUGUAAUGUGUUUAGGGUACAGCAUUACUGUGUAAUGUGUUUAGGGUACAGCAUUACCGUGUAAUGUGUUAAGGGUACAGCAUUACCGUGCAAUGUGUUAAGGGUACAGCAUUACUGUGUAAUGUGUUUAGGGUACAGCAUUACCGUGUAAUGUGUUAAGGGUACAGCAUUACCGUGUAAUGUGUUAAGGGUACAGCAUUACCAUGUAAUGUGUUAAGGGUACAGCAUUACCGUGUUAAGGGUACAGCAUUACCGUGUUAAGGGUACAGCAUUACCGUGUAAUGUGUUAAGGGUACAGCAUUACCGUGUAAUGUGUUAAGGGUACAGCAUUACCGUGUUAAGGGUACAGCAUUACCGUGUUAAGGGUACAGCAUUACUGUGUAAUGUGUUUAGGGUACAGCAUUACUGUGUAAUGUGUUUAGGGUACAGCAUUACUGUGUAAUGUGUUUAGGGUACAGCAUUACUGUGUAAUGUGUUUAGGGUACAGCAUUACCGUGUAAUGUGUUAAGGGUACAGCAUUACCGUGUAAUGUGUUAAGGGUACAGCAUUACCAUGUAAUGUGUUAAGGGUACAGCAUUACCGUGUUAAGGGUACAGCAUUACCGUGUUAAGGGUACAGCAUUACCGUGUAAUGUGUUUAGGGUACAGCAUUACCGUGUAAUGUGUUAAGGGUACAGCAUUACCGUGUAAUGUGUUAAGGGUACAGCAUUACCGUGUAACGUGUUAAGGGUACAUCAUUACCGUGUUAAGGAUACAGCAUUACCGUGUAAUGUGUUAAGGGUACAGCAUUACCGUGUUAAGGGUACAGCAUUACCGUGUUAAGGGUACAGCAUUACUGUGUAAUGUGUUCAGAGUACAGCAUUACCGUGUAACGUGUUAAGGGUACAGCAUUACCGUGUUAAGGGUACAGCAUUACCGUGUAAUGUGUUAAAGGUACAGCAUUACCGUGUUAAGGGUACAGCAUUACCGUGUUAAGGGUACAGCAUUACCGUGUAAUGUAAAGUGUGUUAAAAGACAUGACAGUACCACACUCACUGAGCUAGCAUAUCAAAAAUACAAGGACAAGAACAUGUAGAAGUCAACUAGUGACCCUCGGCUCAGUCACACUCACAGCGUGACCCUCGGCUCAGUCACACUCACAGCGUGACCCUCGGCUCAGUCACUCUCACAGCGUGACCCUCGGCUCAGUCACACUCACAGCGUGACCCUCGGCUCAGUCACACUCACAGCGUGACCCUCGGCUCAGUCACACUCACAGCGUGACCCUCGGCUCAGUCACACUCUCUCCUAACUGAAAUAAACGUAAUUACUGCCUGUAAGCACAAUGGAG
ensembl:lncRNA